rnacentral:rRNA from 1 species
AUUGAACGCUGGCGGAAUGCUUUACACAUGCAAGUCGAACGGCAGCACGGACUUCGGUCUGGUGGCGAGUGGCGAACGGGUGAGUAAUGUAUCGGAACGUGCCCAGUCGUGGGGGAUAACGUAGUGAAAAUUACGCUAAUACCGCAUACGAUCUAUGGAUGAAAGCGGGGGACCGCAAGACCUCGCGCGAUUGGAGAGGCCGAUAGCAGAUUAGGUAGUUGGUGGGGUAAAGGCCCACCAAGCCAACGAUCUGUAGCUGGUCUGAGAGGACGACCAGCCACACUGGAGCUGAGACACGGUCCAGACUCCUACGGGAGGCAGCAGUGGGGAAUUUUGGACAAUGGGCGAAAGCCUGAUCCAGCCAUUCCGCGUGCAGGAUGAAGGCCCUCGGGUUGUAAACUGCUUUUGUACAGAACGAAAAGGUUUCUACUAAUACUAGGAGCUCAUGACGGUACUGUAAGAAUAAGCACCGGCUAACUACGUGCCAGCCGCCGCAGUAA